UUGGCGAUUCUUGUGCAGAGAGAUUGGGUGAGCGUGUACUUCCUCAGAUACACCUGCCCCCACUACUUCGUUUCCUUCCCUACGAAGAUGACUUCGCAUCGACUCCCAUGUCUACCUCCUCCAUGCCUCCCCUACCACCACCACCGCUUAGACACAUCGGCUCCUCCUCUACCAUUCUCUCAAUCUGGAUCUAAGAAGGUGGUUGGCAGGGACGCCAUCGACCUUAGGGCUGAGGGGUGGCGACCAUCCCAGAUCAGAGUCAGCUGGAGUGGCUCGAGGGAGACGUGGUCUGGAUGGCGUUGCGGCAUCCUCGCCAUUCGGUAUACGCGCAGCUGCGGCUCCUUGCCUUGGCAAGGUCUUCAAGGACGACAAGCUCGUUGAGUGUCUCCUCGACCGCUCCCCCAGCCCCACCUCCUCGAAUUCGUAUGUUGCAGGAGUUCACGAGCUGGCACGACUGCUCUUCUACGACUUCCUAAAAUUUUAUUUCUUCUUUCCCUUUCCUUUCUUUUGUCUUCGCCUGAUCGAUGUUGUAUUAUUCAUGUGCUGCCGAAUUUGUUUUGCAAGUACUUAAUCUUGCUAUGGAAUGAGGCAUCACAUUUUUGCCAGGCUAGGGUGUCCAGGGUUGCUGUAUUGGGCACACAAAAAACAAGGAUGACGCAUGGCACAUUUCAGGUGUAAAUCUAUUUCAUAUAUUGAAAGACAUAGGUUGUUCCAGAUAGAGUUGUAUAUUGGUGAUGCCUUCUCAUUGGUUUGCUGCAUAUGUAGUUACAGAGUGGGUCGCGCCUUUUCGUCAGGCAUCCUCUGGUGCUUCCCACGGUGUCUCUCUCUGUUCUUAUUGCUGCUGCACACAAACGACUGACCUUGCUCUGUUUUCUUUCUAGGUUCGACUUGUAGAUAGGACACACAUCAUGGUUAGCUCUUUGGUCAUCAACUGGUCCAUGACCAAGUAGAAAAGAAGGUCGGCGCUCACGCUCAGGAAGGACAUCUCAAAGUCAGUGCAGGAAAUGACCACCGCCGUGUUCUCAGCGGAAGGGACAGAGGGGCACAGAAGCUGCUGACAUCCUCAUCAGAAUUUAGUUCCAAGGAGCUUAGUUACUUAAUUACCUCCGCUCGUGUAUCUUCAUUUUCAUGUCGUCGCUGGAUUAUUAUUAUUGUUACAGUUCAGUAGUAGUCA